ACUGGUCUGAGAGGAUGAUCAGUCACACUGGAACUGAGACACGGUCCAGACUCCUACGGGAGGCAGCAGUGGGGAAUAUUGGACAAUGGGCGAAAGCCUGAUCCAGCCAUGCCGCGUGUGUGAAGAAGGUCUUCGGAUUGUAAAGCACUUUAAGUUGGGAGGAAGGUCUGUAAGCUAAUACCUUGCAGUUUUGACGUUACCAACAGAAUAAGCACCGGCUAACUCUGUGCCAGCAGCCGCGGUAAUACAGAGGGUGCAAGCGUUAAUCGGAAUUACUGGGCGUAAAGCGUGUGUAGGUGGUUUGAUAAGUUGAAUGUGAAAGCCCCGGGCUCAACCUGGGAAUUGCAUCCAAAACUGUCUGACUAGAGUACGGUAGAGGGUGGUGGAAUUUCCUGUGUAGCGGUGAAAUGCGUAGAUAUAGGAAGGAACACCAGUG
rnacentral:rRNA from 1 species